AGGCAAGAUGGAGGCAUAGCUGCAUUGUAAUAUCACAGCUGUACCUCAUCGAGCCAAC
rnacentral:pre_miRNA from 1 species